GAUGAAGAACGUAGUGAAAUGCGAUAAGUAAUGUGAAUUGCAGAAUUCAGUGAAUCAUCGAAUCUUUGAACGCACAUUGCGCCCGCCAGUAUUCUGGCGGGCAUGCCUGUUCGAGCGUCAUUACAACCCUCAGGCCCCCGGGCCUGGCGUUGGGGAUCGGCGGAGCCCCCCGUGGGCACACGCCGUCCCCCAAAUACAGUGGCGGUCCCGCCGCAGCUUCCAUUGCGUAGUAGCUAACACCUCGCGACUGGAGAGCGGCGCGGCCACGCCGUAAAACACCCAACUCUUCUGAAGUUGACCUCGAAUCAGGUAGGAAUACCCGCUGAACUUAAGCAUAUCAAUAAGCGGAGGA
rnacentral:misc_RNA from 1 species